UUGUUGAUGAUAUAAUUUGGUCCGUGUUUAUGAAAUUAUAUGAUUUCAUACCAAUCAUAACUUCUGAUAUCA